rnacentral:other from 1 species
AAUUGCCUAGAAGAUAUGGGAUAAGGUCACAUAGAAAUAAACCGACUAACAAAACGAUUGGGAAUCUAAUUGAUAAGCUGUGUUGAAAACUUAUUUUAAAUAAGGAUCCUAAGGCUUAUCAUGUGAUGCCCACCUGGGAAGAGCGGGUUUUUUAUCGUUUUGUAGACUGCCUAUCUUUUGGGUUUUUU